rnacentral:rRNA from 1 species
GGGGAAUAUUGCACAAUGGGGGAAACCCUGAUGCAGCGACGCCGCGUGAGCGAAGAAGUAUUUCGGUAUGUAAAGCUCUAUCAGCAGGGAAGAAAAUGACGGUACCUGACUAAGAAGCCCCGGCUAACUACGUGCCAGCAGCCGCGGUAAUACGUAGGGGGCAAGCGUUAUCCGGAUUUACUGGGUGUAAAGGGAGCGUAGACGGAAUGGCAAGUCUGAUGUGAAAGGCCGGGGCUCAACCCCGGGACUGCAUUGGAAACUGUCAAUCUAGAGUACCGGAGGGGUAAGUGGAAUUCCUAGUGUAGCGGUGAAAUGCGUAGAUAUUAGGAGGAACACCAGUGGCGAAGGCGGCUUACUGGACGGUAACUGACGUUGAGGCUCGAAAGCGUGGGGAGCAAAC